UUAUAAACAGGAGGGUAGUCAACUUUUUACAUGGGUAGGUAUUGACAGAACAAGGAGGAAUGGUUUUAAACUAGAGAGAAGAGUUAGAUUAGAUGCUGGGGAGAAGUUUUUCACUGAGAGAGUAGUGAGGUGCUGGCACAGGCUGCCCAGAUUGGUUUUGAAUGCCCCAACCCUAGAGGUGAUUAAGGCCAGGUUGGAUGGGGCCCUGGGAUCUGAUCCAGUACUUGAUCUUGUGGCUGGCAACACUGCCUGCAGCAGGGGGGCUGGAACUUGAUGAUCCUUAAGCUCCCUUCCAACCCAAGCCAUUCUCUGAGUCUAUGACUUCGUUCUGCCUCUCACCAAGCUCUGAGGCUGGCCACAGGUAGUCUUUUCUUACCUUGUAGCAGCUUUGUGUGGGAGAAUAAUAUUUGGGAGCAGAGGAGGUGUUCAGCAUGCAGGAGGGCAGCUGACAACAUGGCCAACAGACCACUAAGACCUGGCUUUCUAGCAUGCAGUAUGUUGUAUACCAAGAUUCAUCUCUUCUGCUGCCCUUUUAACUGCUGACAGGAGCCUUGCCCCUCACAAACCGAAAGGAAUAUGAUUAGAAGACAGUAAAGAGCCACAAAGUAAAGCAAAAACAAAACAAAACAAAACCACAGUAAAAACCCAUGCUUACAUCAGCACCUUUAUCACCUUCCUCGCCCUUCUUGCCUGGUUCACCCUAAAACAAACAGAAAAGAGAAAUUUGUCUCCAUAUGACCGAGGAUCCUGCCCAGAAUCACUUCCCUCCAAUGGACUACAGUAAAGAUGACUCCUGAGCUCUGCCCUAGCUCCCAGCAGCUUCCCAAGAGGUCACUGCUAUUUCUCACAUUGAUAAACUUGGCUGGGGGUGGCCAAGCUGCACGAGGGGCUGGCUGCCAUGGCCUGGACCUACAGCAGAUCUCAAUGAACAAUGUCUUAGUCCACAGCGUUGAGAAAGAAAUGCUGUUCUCCUCCCCCAAACAUGCAAUUGUGCAUCUUUGAUUUACACCAUAAAGUUCCUCCUUUCUUCUUUCAUUAAUUACUCAUAUCAUUUUCUGCCUCUGAAGAUGCUCAUUAAGCCUUCUGUGAGCAAAAUCCCUACGUGCUGUGAACACUGGUCUGAUGUUCCCCCUAACCUAAGUUCGUGCAUUUCCUGAAGAACAGAAGACACAAAGAGAUUAAGCCACAAGCUAAAGACAAAGCCUAACAAAUGGCUGAAUGAAAUAGGGUGGAAAUGCCUGGACUCUUCAGACUCACUGGACAUCCCUGACAUACUUGCAAAGCAGAGAGUGAGGAUGGGAUGAAGGGCUGAAGAAAAGGUUGUAGGUGCUGUACAGUAUGAUGAGAUGGAAUUAAGGAAGGGUGAAGAGAAACUUCCCAGAGGAACCAGGAUCUCUCUGAAUGCUGCCAGUCAAGACACCCAACUUGUUCCACUCACUUUCAGCCAAACUUCAACUCUGUUUGCACUCUAGCCAUACGUGCCUAUGCAGACAUUGCCUGAGUGCACUGGUUCAGCUACUGCCAAAAAAUCAUUUGGCCAAGUCUCUUACUCUCAUUAAAGGUUUUCCAGCUCAGCUUGGCAGAUCAAGGUGCAAGAGGACACCGAGAGCAGCUGAUGUACCUUGGGUUAACAGUGCCCUUUGAGUUCUGGUAGUGCCAGGAACCUCACAGGGCAGGGAAGAGAUUCUGUCUGCCAGACUUUGGCUAGAGGGGAUCUGCAAAUACUGCACAUCUCCUCCAUUGGCAUGUUGCCUUCCUGAUCACUGCUCUCCACCUCUGACCUGUUAACAGGACUUUGUCAGCAGUCCUUUCCUGCAGUGCACUUUAUGCCAUUGACUGCCCUGUUGACAAAAGACCAUUAGCAGAAGAUGGCUGGUAAGGCUGCAGACAUAGAUGCUACCUUGCUUUGCACUGUGCAGUUAGGGCUUCCCAUGAGGCAAAAGCUAUCAACAGAACAACUGAACUUAGAGCAAGUAACCUCCUCUCCUAAAAAAAAUCAAUGGGAAUCUGGCUGCUCUGUGAUACUUCUGGCUCUAGAAGGAAGACUCACAGCUGCAAGACACCAGCUCCAUUCCUUGAGCCACCCAAGGUGGAGAAAGCCUAUGGGAUCACUCUGACACACUCCACAUUUCAGUGCUAUGUUUCGCAUUCCAUUUGCAGAGGAAUACUUAAGCACCUUUGGUCACCCCUCUGUUUUUUUGGAGUACUGAGCAGAAAAAAAGGAGAAAAGGAGAUGCACGUCAUCUACAGCUACCUACCUGCAGGCAGUGACCUCCAACGUGAUGGUAAAAGUGGCACUUGGAAGAGAAUUUGUUCCCUACAGCUGCAGCACAAGAGCAUGCCUAUACAGCCACCACUGCAGAUAUCUUUUUCUUUUUUUCCUAACAGGUGCCAGCCAACAUUUUUCUUCUCUCUUUCUUUAAUUCUUUGACCAUUCCACAGUAGGGUCUCAAUAACGUUCCACAGUCCAUCUACACCCACUUCCACAUUUUGCAGAUCUAACUGCUCAAUGCUUGCACCAUGUACUAAGAUCUCUGGUGAUUUUGUGUCCCUAGUGCUUCUCAGAAGCAGUUUCAAAGACCGUGGCCUUUUGGAGAGUAAGCUUGACAGAAACAGCUGUAGGCCAAACUGCCAUCUGAAACCCUUCCUUAAAUGCUGGAGUGGGGAUCUGACAUGGAUAUAUCCUUGUUAAGAUUUUUCUCUGUUCGUUCCUAAAUUUCAUCUGUGUGCUAAUAAUAUUCCAACAGCCCUUCUUGCUACAGUUGUUAUCAUUUGACAUAAUUCAUUGAGGACUGAGGUAUAGCAAACUUUCUAAAUAAAUUAAGAGCAUCACUUGACCUGGGGAACAACUUUGGUUCAGAAGUCUGAUGAGCUUUUACUGCAUUACCAUCACAGAUGGAAGUCAUCAGAACAUCUAAAACAGUCCACACUAAAGAGCUUUGGUUGGCAGAAGAAGGCUGGCCUCUGCCAGGUUUAACAUUCCAAGUAUUUAUUACCUCUAUCUCCUUAGGGAACACCAGACACUAUGUAAGUUAUUCAGUCUUUUAUCUGUAUGGGAAACCUUCAUCUUGUUGGUUUGUUUUGGGUUUUUUUUCUUGCAAAAGACUUAGAAAUUCUACAUUUAAAAUUGGUCAUGGCUGCAGUCCCACAGAAUCUGAAAGAGCUGUAUAAGUUUCUAAGGCAUUCACCCAGAUCUCGCUGGGAAUCCCUCCACAUACGUAAAACCUUACCCUCUCUCCUCGGUCUCCUUUGGAGCCUUUGGGCCCAGGUUGUCCUGGAGAGCCUGGUAAGCCCUAGAAGAGAUGCAUGACAAGAAGAAUUUAGUUUCUAUUGCACAUCCAUUAUGAAGAUAUAGCCAAUACAUUUCCCAGUGAUCCUCAGCUUCUGUAAACCCCAUAUAUGCAUUAAGUGACUAGGCUGGAUUCUUGUUUGCCCUCAAGCAAUAACAAUGGAAGCUCUUUUUGCAGAUACCUUAAGCCCUAUAUUUUCUACAUAUCCCUCUUCUUAGUUCUCUUAAUGAACUGCAUGCUGCUGAUAUAACAUUUUGUGAAGGGUCAAUGUGACAGGAUAGUUCUUGUUCUCAGUGACUGAGAAGAAAUUAACAAAUAGAUGGUAUGGUGAGCCUAAAAAUCCCCGCUGCUUUCCCCCCUCUUCAUAAUUGCCUCAGUGGGUGGCAUGAGUAACCAUACAUACCUGAAAAUUAAUUGGAUUGUGUAGUGGAAAUUAUUUUGAAGCGAUUCACUCACCCUAAUAAACAAUUUUCAAAUUAAGCCCAAUCUCUACUAAUAAUUUUGCUCCCUGGGUUGAGUAAAUCUAUAAAGCAAAUCACCAAUGGUUAUGAAGGGUGUUGUCUCCAGACUUCUACUAAUUGAACUGCUCUGCAGAAAUUGAUCCAAAUUCUUAAAUUACCCAUCCAGUGAAGCCGCAGUGAGAAACCAGGCAGGAAGAGAACAACACUGUUUGUUUCUAUUUACCAUGUCAGCUCCACAUGACCGUAUGCAAGAUGCUUUUUUCCACCUCAAGUAACUUGAACUUGAAGUCCUUGGAGACUGCAGCACAAGGAACCCCAGCUCCGCAUCAGGCAGCUGCUGCUUCACGCUGACUUGUUUAACAGCAGCCCCCACUACCCACCACCUCUCAGCAUCCAGUGAAAUGGGCUUUCUAGCACAGCCGCCAGGAACCUCAGCCUGUAGUUAAGUGGCCCAACAAGGUCAGGCCUUAGUGUUUCAAGGGACAGUGGGAGGAACGCUCUCCCAGUUUCAGGAUUUUGAGGGACUAGUGGAGAAGCACUCUCUCAGCUUCAUCUGGGAGGCAGCCCUGCUCACCAUUAUCACGUUGCUCCUUGCCUGCAGUCAGUCCAACCAGCUCACCAUCAACUUGUGCAAGAUGGCAGCUUAGCUACGCCACCUCUGUAUCCACAAAAGAUGCACAGAUUCAAGCGUGAUAGAGGAGGUUAACCAGGGCUGGCAAGCAAGGUAGGGCACAGACCAGAUUUGGCCUUAUGUCAAAAAGCAGCGUGAACAAAGCUCAAGUGUCCAUAGGUGACCUCUGCACCUGACAGCUCUGUACAUUCGACUUCAGUGCGUGUUUGCAGAGGGAUGCUCAAGGAACACUGAAUUAAACAAGUCUCUUGUUAAAAAUAAAAAAUUUAUAAUGCCUACUGCAUGUGAAAAAGCCAGACUCUAUUAAAGAACCUAUUUAUGAAUUGUGAAUUACCUUAUAUUUAAUCACGUUAAACUGCAACUGUCGUUUGACUGCCAAACUUCCCACUGUGUUCAUAUCUAUCUGGCGUUUCUCACCGCUCUCCAGAGCAUUCACUAAUUGAAAUGAUUCUGCUACACUGGCAAAAUUUCACUAACUUGCUCUCAUUGCUUCUUCAAAGUGAUUAAUAAAUACAUAGUAGAAGUCUCCUUUCUCUAAUUUCCAGCAAUCCCAAACCUGUCAUAUCAGGAUCUAAGUCACAUCCGUUGUCUAAAUUACUUAAACUUUCUCUCUCUUCUGUACUUCUCAGUCACUUUUAUCUCUUUAAUUCAAGUAAGAUACCUAAUAUAGAAAUAUUUGUUGUCACUGGUUUGCCUCUACAGUAGGAAACAUUCAUCCCAAACUAGAGUCCUGUUGUAUCAGCCAACCACCAUCUGCAGCAGUUUGGCCACUCAUUAUUCAUCAUAACCUUCAUUUUUUCAACUUCUUUUUUCAUCCAUGUGGCUAUUUUGCCCUUCCACCAUAAAACAUUCUUUUGACUGAGUUUACAAUUCCCCAUAAUUAUCCUCCCCUCCACAAUUUUGGUAUCAAUAUCUAAUGAAUCAAACUGAUUGGAAUUUGUGAAGUUUGUACUGAAUGGAAAGUGCUAUUUCCAAUAAAUUAGGAUGAAGAAAUUCACCUUGGUGAACUGGUGAAUUCUCAAUGACACAUUUUUCCUCUUUUAUGUGUUCCACAGGAAAUGCAGUGUUUUUCUAUCACAAUGUUAGUAAAGCCCACGUCAAAUCCUUUGCAUCAACUCAGGCUACGGUGAAAUGUUUUGACACAGUAGCAGCAAGAUAUGUUGUUAUGAUUGAGGGAAAACCUGGAAAGUAGAACCAUUUCAACUUCUUAACCCAGUUCAUUAUGAAAGACAGGUAUGAAAAUCACAGACUUUCAUGAGGAGCUAGGCAUUGCAUCUAAGACCUAUAAAAUAGUUCUCCUCUUUCUGAAAUGAGAAGAUGCUCCACACCUACCCCCCAACUCUGCCCCUCAGCCCAAAGCAGGAAAACCCUUACUUGUGAUCCAGGGACUCCGAUAGGUCCUGGAGGCCCUUUGGGUCCCGAUGCACCCGGUGGUCCUGGGGGGAAUCAUCAGUUGAGACAAUGUUAAGGAGAUUUAGAAGGCUCUUAAAUUUCAAACAUAUGCGUUUCAUUUUAUUGUUCUACUUCAUCUCCAGUGGGUGAGAGCCAUUCAUUGAUCACAAGACUGCAGCAUAAGUACUACAUCAUGCACCGGAUUCUUGGACACCCAUAUCCUAAUAUCACACGUGCCUUAGGGAAGCUCUUAGAGCUCGGGGAGGAAAAAAAAGGUGAAAAUAGGCAGGAAGGAUGACAGCAAGGUGCUGCAAAAUAACAGCUCUGAAGAAAUCUUAAGCUAGAUCCAUGAAACAUCAGAGCGGACUGCUGUUUUAGAAAUGGAGGAAGUCCUGCAGGUGGCCAGGGAAGUCUGCAAGUCUGCAUGAGUCAGUCUCUGGUGCUGAUGAACACAAAGGAGACAGAGGUUGGAUGUAGCCAGAACGAGAAGCCAACUGUGGCAAAGCAAAGCACUCUUUUGUUCUUUGCAUGCUCACUUCAGUAGCAAAAAAGUUCUUUUUAAGUCUGUAUCACAGAAGAGGCCGUUUCCAGGACAUGUUAAACACUGCCUGAACAGGUCAAAUUGUUUUACAGUCACAGAACAAAUUCAUUACUUUUGGAAAGAUAAUUAUAUCCCAACUGCAGCUGUUAAAUUGUACCUGGAAAUGAGAGACAGGAUAUUUGCUUAGUCUGAAUUUAGUAAUACUCCUCUCUGCUUUGGUUGUCAAAACCCUUGAGAUGAAACAACGCAGACACCAUGUACAAAGUACAGCUGAAUUAGCCUCAAUCAUUAAUGCACCAUACAAAUGCUUAAGUCAGAGAAUAAAGGAACUGAAGGAUAAAUUAAAGGCCCUCAUAAUGAAAGGAAAAGUUUUCUGCAACUGAUGUGAGUUCGCUCCUAAAUAUGUAUCAUACUGGGACAUGCUGAUGUUUGCAGGAAUAUUAUCAUUUAAUCCACUUAUCAGCACUGAGAAACAAAAGAUUUGCUACUGAAUUUUGGUCCCAGAUUCUGAUGUCAGUUAUAUAGGUGCAAAUCUGGAGUAGCUCAAACCAUCUCCAAAGUGUGCAGAGAUAUCACUGAGAACAGCUGGUCAGAUCCUGCUCAGUAGAGCUCUACAGCAACCAGACAGGAUUGCACCAGCAGUGAGAACAGCUCUGCUCCCACAGAGGAAUUCAAAGGGCAACCCACUCUUAAAGGCACUCUUCAAUUAUUCCCUUCUCAGAGUAUGUCCUCUCAAAGCAGCAAGGAAACAUUAGAAGUCUCAAGAAAAAUCUGCCUCUAUAAACAGAUAAGAACUAGUUACUUCUUGCCAUCCUACCCACUACCCAUGGCUGCACAGCCCUUCCACUGAGGACCACGUGCUUUCCCCGCAGGCAUCCCACAGCACACUUCCUCUCCUUGCUCCUUUGCUCCUCUUCCCUAUCACUACAGCUUUGCAGCUCAACUGAGUGCAUUACCUGGGGGUCCCACAGGGCCCGGUGCUCCCCGUGGUCCUGGUAGGCCAGCCAUGAUGGUAUCUAUGACAGUGGAAGCCAACUGGGGUUCUCCAUCUGUGUUAAAAAGCAGAACAGUCAGUGCCCCUGCAGCAAGAGCCGCCCAGUCCCAGGACUUUCUCUCCAAAACCCUCUGGCGCCUGUUGCUGGUGAAGGGCAGGCAGAGCUUCUGGAUGCAAGAUCUGGACUCCAGGAGCAAUCCAAGAGCAUAGGCUGUAUCCCCCAGAUCUCAUCCCAUCUCUUCUGAGCCCUGAAGAAUCGUCCUUUCUGUCCAAAAACUGGUGUUCCUGCACACCCAUAUUGUAUUACCUUUGGAAUGCUGAAGCAGUUUAAAAGUAGCUCUGCGCUGUACAGUAAUAAUUAUUUUAGCUUGUGCAGGUCUGGGGAACGGGUGGAGAUGGGAGCAGAGCAGGGAGAGGGAAGCCAUUAGCAGAAACUGGAGUAAUGUUGUGCUUUUGCACAUCUUUCUUAGUCGUCUCCUGCUGGGAGUAAAGCUCGUCACUCUGUAGCUGUCACAUCUUCGAACCACUGGGCUUAACUUACCACUUCUGUUGGUAACUGAAGAGAAAAAAAAACAACUACAUAUGAAAGAAAACACCCCUUUUUCUUGCAAAACCACCAUUAACCAGUCUGUUCCCCACAGACCUACAUGCCAGCAGUCCGUGGGGUACCUGUACAGCAGCAUCUUUCACCCUGAGCAUCCCACAGCACUGCUUGACAGUGUGGAAACCAAGGCAUGAAAAUUCCACAACUGGCAAAGACACCAAUUACACAAAGCAAGGAAGGGAGCCCCCAGGUCUUGAUGCUAUGAAGAUUCACAAUCCAUUCCCCUGGCCAGCACUAUAGAGCCAACAGCAGGUUUCCUGAUUAUGCCUGGAGAUCUUGACUCUCUGUCAACCCUCUGAGAAGUCCACAUUUUCCACAUUUGGAGGCCACCAGAAUGAAGAAUGCCCAUCUCUUUCUUCCUGCCCAUGGUCUCAAACACCCUUGCACCCAUCCCUUUAACUCAUUAUGCUGAAAUUCUGGAGAACUUUUUGCAGGUGUAAAACUCUGCAGGUGGCUCAGUGCUCUACUGAUGACAACAUUAAAUAAUACCAGGAACAUGGGAGGGAUGUUUGUUUUCUCUGCAGGAUUCAGCCACAACAACAUGCAGUGGAAUCUCCAGAAACAUUAUCAGACACAUCACAAAGCCUUUUCAAACUCUGGAGCACUGGCAACAACAGAGAAAAUGUUCAAUGUCCUUGUUUGAAAGCAUCUCCAAGGGAAAUUGUGAAAUCUUUUUAACUGCCAGGGACGACAGUAUAUGUCUGCAAUGCCCUCCUGGCAGCAGAGCAGCAUGAGAUCUAACCCAGGUCCCUCUGAGAACUAAAUUUCGAGCCUAAAACUUGAAUGUAAACAGGUAUUUCUUAGACUAUUGUUUCCAGACCCAUCCAUCUUCCCUUCUUCACAAAACAGCUGAGACUGUUUUUUUGUUCAGAAGGGAAGGUACCCAAGUGAAGUGUGUAAUCCAAUUAAUUUGAGUUUUAUUUGACCAUGUCAAAAUCCAUCAUGGUUCGGGAGUAAGAUGAGAUUGGGAAACGAGCAUCGAAGAGCAAUUGCAGAGCCUUUUGUUUUUAAAGAACAAGUGGCCAACAAAAUUAAAUGUGUAUCCACUGAGAGGAGGAGAGGAUAGGCUACAAAUGAACUGGGAUUUAAUUACUGCUGGAGGUAAACCAGGAACAAGCAUUUGGGUUACAAAACAUUCCCACUAAGUGGUACGUUACUACAAUGAUGGAGUUAUACCCCACAAAUCCACCCACCCUGACAUUAGAUCCACUGGACUCAAAGUUAUUUAUGAAAGGCAAUUUGGUAACUGCGACACAGAAGAGAGCAGUGUCUCAGUUCUAACACUGAGCUGAUUCUACACCACAUACCUGAUGCACGCUUUUGUAAGUGGCAGAGAAGGAAAGCAGUGCUGCAGCAGCGGCCCCAACAGAGGGGCAGGGCAGUCUGGCUUCUGGCUUGUAUCUCAUGUUUCUGACUAAGGGAUAAAUUCCCCCUUUAUAAGCUUGAUUUGUUGAGACAGGAUGGAAAUGAAGUAAUCCUGUCCUAAUUUCUUUCUGCUACCUGAUCUGGAGGGAGACAACUGGGACCAAUUUCUUUACCACCGCACUGUGAAACUGUGAGAAAACGUCUCCCCAUUUUUGGCUUCUGCCUACUGAUAAACACUGCCAACAAGAACUUAUUGUGAUUAAUAAAGGCACAUGCAUUAACCACAUUCAGGCGGAACCAAACACUGCAGUAUUAAUAAUAAUCCAAUACAGCUUUCUCACAUCUCUGUGGGUGCACAUGCCCAUUACCAGGAAUAUGCUUCCCUCUGCUGUCAGCAGCUGGAAUCUUGUGUUUAUAGUUUUCAGAUGUGCUCCAUUAAAAAGAAAAAAAGAAAAGAAAAAAAAAGAAAAGGAAAGGAAAACCUAUGCAGGAUUUGCAAGGCUAAGCUUUAUUGGCUGUUGAGGAUCAGCUUUCCACCAACCUGUGGUAGGCAAAAUCAGCCAGCACGUAAGGAAAACAUUAAUUUUGUAAGAAACUGGUCUCAAAAUUGCAUAACUUUACCAUGACCAGGCAGAUGACUUAUACUGGCAGAUCAGUAUUGAGAUUUUUUUCUCUUAAACAACAGAACUUGUUACAGAUUUUGGGCUCACAUACCCAAUGUCAGUACACCAACAAAACCAGCUUGUUCCACGUAGUCUCUGCUGUACACAUCUAUAGGAAAUUUCAUCUCCACAGAACACUACAGAGCCCUGCCUAUGCCCUGGGAGGAAUUGGAUGAACAAUGUGCCCCCAGCAGACAGCCCUGCUGCACCUUUCUAACUCCUGCAAUUCAGUGAGAGGGCAAUAUACAGGAGUUGGCAGUGCCUGGCUCACUCAACCACCACCGAAAGCUAAAGAAGGAGCAGAAGGAACCCAAGGAAGUGUGAGUGGAAUAGAGCAACAUUUUCAGGCAUGAGGUUUGGGAUAAAGCUGUCAGUAGCUGGCAGAGGGCAUGGCAGCUGCACGAGGGGAAAGGCCUGUGCUUUCUGCUCUGUCCAAGCACCAGUUAGCAGGUAACAUUUAUUUAAUCAGUUACAAAACUGAUUAAAUAAAAUUCUGCAACACAAAAUUCCAGGGAGUGUACAGCUUUCUGCUUCUUACAUGACCUGAGUUACAAAUGCAGGAGAGCCUGUCAGCUCCAUCAGUGCCACUCUCUGCAACCGCGGUAUUUUAAUUCCAUACAGCAUUAGGGCUUCAUCUGGAAACCUGUAGACAACAUCAGUUGCUGAGUUCUCCCAAAAGUAGAUAAAUGAAGCAAUGCUAAGUUUCCUGGCUACUACUUCUGCACCAAGAAAUCCACUACAGGUAGGAAAAAUACAGGGCUGCCCCAGGAUGCAGCGGUCACCAUUUGCUCAUGGACUUCAAGUCCAUGUGGGAGCCUGCUGCCCAGUAGUGGCUGAAUUAAUACAGGUAUUUAUCCACUUGUUUACCUAUUUCCCAUUUUGGGACAAUAGUGUUUACUCUUCUCAUACAUCAGCUGGGAAGGCCAUGCAAUCUGUGUCUUUGCAAGCUUUUAAGCCUAUCCAUUAUCUUGCAAGAGUUUAAUUUAAAUAGCAGCAGGAGGAAAGGGGCUGUGAUGGUACCUAGACCAUCCUUUGGAAUAAAAGGCUUAAUGCAGAAUUUUCUUUGUUAGAAGACUCAGGAAUGCAGCAGCUCAAUCUACAUUUUGUGAAAAACCUUAGCAUUGAACCUCAAUUAAUUUAAUCUUGUCCAUAUGCUUUAAGUAACUGAAUAUAAAAUAGAACUGUUAAAAGUUCUUUCCAAAUUAAAACUACAUCUGUUCACUUCACAGGAAAAGAAGUCUGGAAAGGAGAGUGGGUGGAAGGAAAAGGAAAGCUCUAGAACGCCAUCAGGCACAGGGAGAUUUACUAAUCCUUGGCUGUAAGCAGUGCAACUGUGCUUUGAAACUGGACACGAGCAGAAGAGCUGGGGAAAAGGCACAGCUGAAGUUUGGGGGAGUGGAGAUGGGAGACCAGCAGAGCUGGGGCUCCAGGGGUUUACACACCAAGCAGAGAUAUGUCUGAGUUCUGCUUUACCAUUAUUAGAUGCCAGCAACACAAGAGCAGACCAGAAGAAAUCUGAUCAAGCCUGAAUAUGACUGCUCAGAUAAGAGUGCAUGACGUGCCUUUCCAAGAAAGCCUUUUCUUGCCAUGCACAAAACAAAUCAAGCAAAUAUAUCUUUAAAAUCACCACAAGCUCAAAGAAAUGUUGACCCUCCAGACACAGGGAAAGAAUAAAUUACAGUCUUGGUCUGGGCUUUUGAGCCCACAGUUCUGUGUUUUGCAUGGAUAAGGGAUGAUGCUGUGCCAAAAACACAGGUGGGGAGACAUGUCUGCAGGGGCAGGAAAAGAGCUGCACUGAACAGAUGUCCUCGUUAUGUUAUGUAACUUCAGAGAUGCAAACAUUCAGUAGUUGCUCAUUUCUGAAUAUCCCUGAGCCCUGUAAUACUGCAACAGCAGCACCACCAGAUCUCACAGCCAUGCAGUUUCAAAGCACCAGCACCUAACUGGCCAGACAUACUGUAUUUAUUUACCCACGUUUCAUCUUGUACAGGAACUUCCAAGAGACCCACACAAUACAGGCAGCUUCAUCCUGCUGCUUCUAGGGAAGGCAGAGCUCUGACAGAGCACAACAGGGAAGGAGGGAAGAAGAGCUGAGCUGCUCUGGGCCUGUCCAUCCUGCUGAUGUACCAGAAGGAAAAAAAAAAAGAAAAAAAGGG